rnacentral:rRNA from 1 species
UGGCGGACGGGUGAGUAAUGUCUGGGAAACUGCCCGAUGGAGGGGGAUAACUACUGGAAACGGUAGCUAAUACCGCAUAACGUCGCAAGACCAAAGAGGGGGACCUUCGGGCCUCUUGCCAUCGGAUGUGCCCAGAUGGGAUUAGCUAGUAGGUGGGGUAACGGCCCACCUAGGCGACGAUCCCUAGCUGGUCUGAGAGGAUGACCAGCCACACUGGAACUGAGACACGGUCCAG